CAGUAGCCGCGGUAAAACGAAGGGGGCUAGCGUUGCUCGGAAUCACUGGGCGUAAAGGGUGCGUAGGCGGGUCUUUAAGUCAGGGGUGAAAUCCUGGAGCUCAACUCCAGAACUGCCUUUGAUACAGAAGAUCUUGAGUUCGGGAGAGGUGAGUGGAACUGCGAGUGUAGAGGUGAAAUUCGUAGAUAUUCGCAAGAACACCAAUGGCGAAGGCGGCUCACUGGCCCGAUACUGACGCUGAGGCACGAAAGCGUGGGGAGCAAACAGGAUUAGAUACCCAGUAGUCCCUGUCUCUUAUACA
rnacentral:rRNA from 1 species